AAUGAACGUUGGCGGUGCGCCUUAUGCAUGCAAGUCGAACGGGGUUACAGUCUUCGGAUUGUAACCUAGUGGCGGACGGCUGAGUAACGCGUAAGUAACCUGCCUUAGAGUGGGAAAUAACCUGCCGAAAGGCAAGCUAAUGUCCCAGUGGUAACGAAGCGAAUGCUUUGUUAUUAAAGCCUUAGGGUGCUCGAAGAGGGACUUGCGUCUGAUUAGCUAGUUGGUAGGGUAAGGGCUUACCAAGGCGAUGAUCGGUAGCUGGUUUGAGAGGACGGUCAGCCACACUGGGAUUGAGAUACGGCCCAGACUCCUACGGGAGGCAGCAGCAAGGAAUAUUGUGCAAUGGGCGAAAGCCUGACACAGCGACGCCGCGUGAGGGAAGAAGGCCUUCGGGUUGUAAACCUCUUUUCUCAGGGAAGAAUAAUGACGGUACCUGGGGAAUAAGUCACGGCUAACUACGUGCCAGCAGCCGCGGUAAUACGUAGGUGGCAAGCGUUAUCCGGAUUUACUGGGUGUAAAGAGGGCGCGGGCGGCUUUUCAAGUCGAAUAUAAAAUCUCCCGGCUUAACUGGGGGGGAUUAUUCGAUACUGUUGGGCUAGAGAGCAGCAGAGGGAGGUGGAAUUCCCGGUGUAGUGGUGAAAUGCGUAGAUAUCGGGAGGAACACCAGUGGCGAAGGCGGCCUCCUGGGCUGUUACUGACGCUGAGGCCCGAAAGCGUGGGGAGCAAACAGGAUUAGAUACCCUGGUAGUCCACGCCAUAAACUAUGGACACUAGGUAUAGGGAGUAUCGACCCUCUCUGUGCCGAAGCUAACGCUUUAAGUGUCCCACCUGGGAACACGGCCGCAAGGCU
rnacentral:rRNA from 1 species